GAAAUUUUAAACAAAAAAUAAGAAUUCUUAAAGAAACAUUAGAAAGAACACAAAUAUCACUCAAAUAUAUCUCAAUUUAAUCUUAAUUUAAUUCUAGUUAAAAUCUUAUUGAACUUCAUUCAAACUUUAGGCCAAAACUAAUUGAAUCUUAAAUCCUAAUAAAAUCCUAAACCCUAAAUCAAAUCCUAAAAAAACCUUAAACCAAAUUCCAAUCAAAUCCUAAAUCAAAUCCUAAUCAAAUCCUAAACCAAAUCAUAAAUCCUAAAUCAAACCAUAACCAAAUCUUAAUCCAAAUCCUAAAUCUUAAAUAAAAUCUUAACCAAAUCUUAAAACCUAAAUCAAAUCCUAACCAAAUCGUUAACCCUAAAUCAAACCCUAAGCAAAUCCUAAACCAAAUCCUAAUCCAAAUCUUAAAUUCUAAACCAAAUCCUAACCAAACCCUAAAUCCUAAAUCAAAUCCUAAAUCCUUAAUCAAAUCCUAACCAAAUCCUAAACCAAAUCCUAAUC
rnacentral:lncRNA from 1 species